GACGAACGCUGGCGGCGUGCUUAACACAUGCAAGUCGAACGGAAAGGCGCUGCUUUUGUGGGGUUCUCGAUUGGCGAACGGGUGAGUAACACGUGAGUAUCCCGCCCUUGACUUUGGGAUAACUUUAGGAAACUGGGGCUAAUACCGGAUAGGAUCUCCUGCAGCACGGUGGGGGUUGGAAAGUUUCGGCGGUUGUGGCUGGACUCGCGGCUUAUCAGCUUGUUUGUGAGGUAGUGGAUUACAAAGGGUUUGACGGGUAGCCGGCCUGAGCGGGUGACCGGCCACAAUGGGACUGCGGUACGGCGCAGUAUGCUACGGGCGGCAGUAGGCGAGAAUAUUACAGAGUGAGCGGAAGCCUGAUGCAGAGACGUCCCGUGCGUGAUACCGGCCUACGGGUUGAAAACAACUGUCGACGGUGACGAGGCGUGAGUGACGGUAAUGAGUAAAGAAGCACCGGCUAACUACGUG
rnacentral:rRNA from 1 species